rnacentral:lncRNA from 1 species
GGGUUUUAUGUGUUCUAAAUGUUAAUAUCUUGGGUUUGGGGAGUGAGAAAUAUGAGAAAGAUGAAUAAAAGAGUGUCAUUAGAAAAGAAAAUUCUAGGGACAAAAGGAAAAUAUGAAGCUCUAGGUUAUGUACAAAAGAACCUUCCCCCUUAAAAAAAAAAAAAAAAAAAAAGAGAGAAAAAGAAUCAAAGAGAAAGUGGGGAAGGAAAUGAGAAAGAGUUAGAGUUAAGUGUUGUAAAGAAAAUGAAUUAAAGUCCCUAGUUGGUUGAGUCAAAAGAAAAAGAGAGUUGUUCAUUGGGCGAGUGAUGUGAGUGGGUUUUAUUUUGGUUUUGAGAUGAUG